CUCUCGGGUAAUAACAAAUAUCUGUACUAGGUACUUGGGUGGUAAGAGCAAUGGACAGGAGUAAGAGAAAUCUCUGAAUCAGGGAGGGAGCUUCCAUUUCAGCCUGGGGAAACACACCACACAAGAACACUAAGUGUGCGUGUAUGAGAGACAGAGACAGACAGAGAGAAUGGAUGGGAACAACAGAGGCUAUGGCAAAAGAAGGAAGGAGAAGAGACUGGAGUGGGGGUCACCCUCUCAUUUUAAGUGUUCUAAGUAGGGUAAAGCUGUCUGUGUAUCUCCUGGAGAGAGACCAUUCGUCGGGCAGCAGUGUGCCCAAGCAUGGAGAGUAAGCUGGGAAGUAGCACACCCAAGGGUGACCUAUAAUGAUCUGAAUGAAAAUGGCCCCCAUAGACCCAUAGGGAGUGGCACUAUUAAGAGGUGUGGCCUUGUUGGAGUAGGUGUGGCUUGUUGGAAGAAGUGUGUCACUGGAGGGCUCCGAAGUUUCAGAAGCUCAAGCCAGACCUAAUGGUUCCCUCUCUUCCUGCUGCCUGCUGAUCCAGAUGUAGAACUCUUGGCUCCUCCAGCACCAUGUCCGCCUGAGUGCUGGCAUGCUUUCCACCAUGACGACAAAGGAGAAACCGCUGAACUGUAAGCCAGCCCCAGUUAAAUGUUUACCUUUUUAGGAGUUGCUGUGGUCAUGGUAUCUCUUUCACAGCAAUAAAACCCUAACUAAGUCACUAGCCCGAGCUGGGUUGGGUUGCUGGCUCAGGCCCAAGUGCGCUACCAAAGUCUUUUCCAUUCUAGUCUUUCCUCCAUUUCCUUCUCUGCUUUCUCCGCUAGAAUGCUCACCUGGGCUGGCUUCCACUUGCUGAGACUGACCAGGGAGAAUGAGACCUGGCAUGUUAAGUGGCUCCCGGGGUGGGAUAGCCUGCCUGCUGCGAGGUCUCAGAAGCUCACUCACCCUGUUACUCCAGGCCACUCACCCUGGUCCCAGUGUUACUCAAGCAGGCCCAGCUCUGCAAGCUGCAGGCCCUUUGCCCUUUCUGGUCCCUCCAUCUAGAACAUUCUCUCCUCAGGUCCUCACAGGACUGGCUCCUCCACUACAUGUACACGUCUGCUGGUGUGCUACCCUGAGACCUGGCCCAGGAAAGGAACAGGAAUCUAAAAUUUGCCGUGUGAAUGCUUGAAAGAGUUGCUUUUCUUGGAUGUGGAAAAGCAUGUUCAUCUUUACGAAUGCAAAAAGGGCAUUUAAAAACAAGGCACUCACAUGGCUAAUACUGUUUGGUCAAAAGUGAGACCCCAGCCCUCUAACACCCCUAUUUCCAAAGAGUCUGGAAUGUAAGAUUGUGUUGGAAGUGUCACCCCAGCCCCUGCCCUGGGAAUUGUCAAGCACUUGAACUCCAAUUCCCAGCCUGCCAAGCGCUGACCCCUCCCCAGGGAGGGUCAGGACCACUCCCACAGGGUAUUUAGGCUCCUGCUGGAAGAAGGAACAUGUGGUUUUUGGGUUUUGCAUGUGUUCUCCUCAGUCUUCCCCCCUGCCAUGCUCCUGGCCACCCGAGAGCGCGGCAUUCAUUAACCGUGGGCAUUUUUGAUUCGGUCUAAUCUGGCCUGAUUAGAGUUCUUUGCGCCUAGGCUCGGUUAGGAAAUAUUCCUAACAAAUACUUUUAAUGCUGACUAAUACAAUGCUAGCAGAGUUCAAACAGACCUCUCAUAACAUAGCACACGGCACUCACGGAGAGGCAGCUUCCACUACAAAGACUAUGGGGCACAGCACUAUGCACAGGCACUCUGAGGCAACAGACUUAGAUGGGCACGUCUAGCUCCCACCACUGGACCAGACAUCCCCUACGAUGGACCAGAGUAAUGGGUACCUUCCAGGCCUCACUGCCAAGUAGGAAACCACAAAUGACUAAUUUAUGAACCAAAACAGGAGCCGAGAAGGCAGCAGGCACCGCUGGGGGCCCAGAGCAGGUCCACACCCUGAGUGCCUGCUCACUCCUCAAGUAUGUGUUUGCAGUGAUAAGCCAACUCUUACUGUGUUUAAAGAUGGGAUUAGUUAAACUAUGUUAAGUACAGUAGCGACUCCUUUAUCUGGGGGGGGGGGGUGAUGGAAGCCACAGAUAGCCCGAACCCCUGCCUCUGUGGUGCUCUUUCCUGUGCAAACAAUACCUGCGAUAAGGCUUCAUUUCUAAGCCAGGUAUGGUGAGAGAUUACAGGACCAACGAGAAGACAGCAGGCUCCACAACACCCUGCAACCCUGUGAAUGGAGUUUUCCAUUUGAUGUGGCCAAUACCAGAAGCAACUGAAAUGGAGGAAAAGUCGGAUGGAGGAAGAGAGCUGCUCAGGCUAAACAUCUGCACUGUGCCCUCUCCCACAAAGGACUUAGGCCAGCUCCUGCAAACACCAACACUGAAAGACCUUCAGAAUAUGGCAUCUGCUCCUGGCAGCACAAGCUACUUCAAAAGGAAGAUGGGCAUUGAAGAGGCUCCUUAUGGAGUUUGUUAGCCAUUUGGGCAAGAAUCUUCUCUUGCCUGGACUACUUGAUAAACUGAACAUGCAGGACCUACAGAAAAAUGACUGCUGAACUUGCCUAAAGCUGCGAUGUGAACACUCCCUCCUCCUCCUGCGAAGCGUCCAGCUCCUCACCCCAACCCUGCCUGCUGAGCUUCACCAUUUCCACCUCAGAGGGGGAGGCUAAGCUCCCAGAGACUAGCGAACUUCCUGCUGCCUCCACGGAACAGCUCUAGGGUGGGUGACAGAAUGAGGGAGUGGGUCUCAGACUGAACUCAGGCCUCAGUGUAUAUUCUGAGUUGCCUGAGAUGCCUUCUCUGCUCUGGGUCUGUCUCAAUUCAGACAUUCCCUCCUGCAGGAAGCUGCAAGGCUGAGAAGAGUCAGGAAGCCAAAUGAAAUGGAAAAGACAUACAAAACUGAAGACUCAGCAGAUUUGAAACUUACAAGACUCAAGGCCCUGUCCCGAGGUUUUAAGGGCGGUGAAUACCCACUAAGGGGGAGAAGGGGUGAUGGAACUGUCUGCACGCCAUACAGGAGGCCACAGGAAAGAACCUUUCGAAGUCAUCACCCACGCUGGGUGGGAUUUUCAGUGAGGCAGCUGCCUUUGACUCACCCAUGAUCCUCUAGGGAACCCCAGUAAAAUCACUGGCUCACCAAGCUGGAUUUGGGCAGAGUCAUUUUUUUUUUGUUUGUUUUCUCUCUGUCAUCGGUGCCCUAUCUGGGUGGAAGAGAUGUAUGUUUGUAUCUUCCAAAGGAGUCAGACAGCAGCAUGCCAUGCAAGACAGCGAAUAUGUUGAACGGUUCACAGUCACCAAACCAUAGUUAACUCCUCCUUCCCAUAAUGCUCUGCUUGUACAGAACCCAGCAGAGGGCAUGAAAAUGACCCUUAUAAAAAGUGCA